rnacentral:rRNA from 1 species
CCUACGGGCAGCAGCAGUGGGGAAUAUUGCGCAAUGGGCGAAAGCCUGACGCAGCGACGCCGCGUGAGGGAUGAAGGUCUUCGGAUCGUAAACCUCUGUCAGCAGGGAAGAACGGUCACUGUGCUAAUCAGCAGUGAAUUGACGGUACCUGCAAAGGAAGCACCGGCUAACUCCGUGCCAGCAGCCGCGGUAAUACGGAGGGUGCGAGCGUUAAUCGGAAUUACUGGGCGUAAAGCGCUCGUAGGCGGUAUGUCAAGUCAAGGGUGAAAUCCCCGCGCUCAACGUGGGAACUGCCUUUGAAACUGGCAAACUGGAGUGUGUGAGAGGAUAGUGGAAUUCCAGGUGUAGGAGUGAAAGCCGUAGAUAUCUGGAGGAACAUCAGUGGCGAAGGCGACUAUCUGGCACAUAACUGACGCUGAGGAGCGAAAGCGUGGGUAGCAAACAGGAUUAGAUACCCCAGUAGUC